rnacentral:rRNA from 1 species
GACGAACGCUGGCGGCGUGCUUAACACAUGCAAGUCGAACGGUGAAGCCCAGCUUGCUGGGUGGAUCAGUGGCGAACGGGUGAGUAACACGUGAGUAACCUGCCUCUGACUCUGGGAUAAGCCUUGGAAACGGGGUCUAAUACUGGAUACGAGACGCUCGGGCAUCCGAAGUGUCUGGAAAGAUUUAUCGGUCAGAGAUGGACUCGCGGCCUAUCAGCUUGUUGGG